UGGGGAAUAUUGCACAAUGGGCGAAAGCCUGAUGCAGCGACGCCGCGUGAGGGAUGAAGGCCUUCGGGUUGUAAACCUCUUUCAGUAGGGAAGAAGCGCAAGUGACGGUACCUACAGAAGAAGCACCGGCUAACUACGUGCCAGCAGCCGCGGUAAUACGUAGGGUGCGAGCGUUGUCCGGAAUUAUUGGGCGUAAAGAGCUUGUAGGCGGUUUGUCGCGUCUGCCGUGAAAAUCCGGGGCUCAACUCCGGACUUGCGGUGGGUACGGGCAGACUAGAGUGUGGUAGGGGAGACUGGAAUUCCUGGUGUAGCGGUGAAAUGCGCAGAUAUCAGGAGGAACACCGAUGGCGAAGGCAGGUCUCUGGGCCACUACUGACGCUGAGAAGCGAAAGCGUGGGGAGCGAACA
rnacentral:rRNA from 1 species